rnacentral:lncRNA from 1 species
CUAAAAAAAAAUCCAUUGGAUUAGAUCUAAUGACUAAGAAUUAAUAUAUUUUAUGAUAAUUUAAAAAUAAAAUAUAAAUUGUAUGACUGUGAUUUAUUCCAUUAAAGUUGAAUGAAUGAUAUUGCUAGUAUGUGAUUGGAAUUAUAUUAAUAGAGACCGAUAUUUUGGAAAAGAAAAAAUUUAAAACUCCAUCUUUUAUAAGUAGUAUAGAUAAAAUACAAACGUACAAUUGUAUUGUAUUUUUAAAUUAUCAUAAAAUAUUUUAAUUCUUAGUCAUUGAAUUUAAGCCAAUAACCGACAAAUUAAGUAUUUUCACUUUUUUUACCUAAAUUGUGCUCAGCUAGUAUAUAUCAAAUCCCAGUUUUAUAUCCGUAUUAUAUUGCCACCUAUAUAAUAUUCAUAUUUUAUCUUAUCUCAUAAACUUCAUAUUUAUCUAUAUCUAUACUAUAUAU